rnacentral:rRNA from 1 species
CCUACGGGAGGCAGCAGUGGGGAAUAUUGCACAAUGGGCGAAACCCUGAUGCAGCGACGCCGCGUGAGUGAAGACGUAACUCGUUAUGUAAAGCUCUAUCAGCAGGGAAGAAAAUGACGGUACCUGAGUAAGAAGGCCCGGCUAACUACGGGCCAGCUGCCGCGGUAAUACGGAGGGGGCCAGCGUUAUCCGGAUUUACUGGGUGUUAAGGGAGCGUAGGCGGGAGUGCAAGUCUGGAGUGAAAGGCGGGGGCUCAACCCCCGGACUGCUGUUGAAACUGUACGGCUGGAGUGCAGGAGAGGUAAGUGGAAUUCGUAGUGUAGCGGUGAAAUGCGUAGAUAUUAGGAAGAACUCCGGUGGCGAAGGCGGCUUACUGGACUGUAACUGACGCUGAGGCUCGAAAGCGUGGGGAGCAAACAGGAUUAGAUACCCUGGUAGUC